CUCUCAACCUUCUCUCUCUAGACAUUAUCCGGCAGCCGGAGCCGGCCAACUUUCCGGCGAGACGUCGGCGACCUCAGCCGAGAGGUGACGGCCGGCCCCCACGUGCGGUGGUCCGGUGACGGCGGUUCAACGGCGGCGCCGCCGCAUGCGGUGGCGGCGGUGAUUUUUCCGGCAAACUUUUUUCGAACCUAUACCCUACCCCUACUAUAACGCACAUUCCCGACACGAUGGCGAUGUUCGUUUUCGAAGAUUCUGAGCCGUUUGGGCUCACGUGCAACUCCGGCGAAGUUCCGGUCAAGAUUCCGGUGAACACGUUUUUGAAUUUUAACUCCGUGCAUGCGUAGAUCGGCUCACAAGAGGUGAUUCUGCUCAUUUUCAAGACUUUUACUUUUCCGGCGAUAUUCCGAUAUUGUAGUGGUUCCGGCAAAGAUGGAGGUGGUGACGGUGGGGUUUGGCGGCGGAACAGACGAUCGGCGACGGCAGUCGGGGAUGGACCGACGCUGGCCGACGGUAGUGGUGCUGGUUCGGCUCUUUUUUGCUUCCUCUCAGCUUUUGGUUCGGGUCUCGGGUUCGGGUCCGCGGGUCAACGGUCAGAAUAUCGGGUUGGGUUGACUCAGUCAAACCGAGUCGACUCGAUCAAACCUGGUCAACCCUAUGAGUCAACUCGGGUCAACAGACGGUCAAGCUAGUCAAUGCCUUUUCGGGUCAGUUUCGAAGCAUGCAUUUUAGUUUUAAUUCGGGUUUCGGUUCACUUCACAUUUAUUUCGGUUCAACAGGUUCAGAAUCGAGUCAAAACAGGUCAACGGUCGGGUCAACUGGUCAAACGCGAGACGCGGUAAAAAUUAAACGACGCGAAAUUCUUUCCAAUCUAUUUCGUAGUUAUAAUACACGAACCGAGCUCGAACCAUCUUUUAUAUAGUAUUUUGUUUCGUUUUAUUAUGCGAACUUGACAAAAAAAGAUAUAUAUUAUUAUUGCAUAA